UAAAUAGUAUAACGAUUAGAAGAAAGGUGUACCAUACAUCUAAUAUUAAUUAUUAUAGCAUACCUAUAGCGAAUAAGUACUGUAAAGGAAAGUUGAAAGAGAAAUAAGUGAAAUAGAACUUGAAAUUCGUUAACUAACAAGCGGACGAAUGUCGUCGUACCUUUUGUAUAAUGGGUUCGCAAGAAAAAUAUUUGGCAAACUUAAGUCAAUAAAUGCAGGUGUAGCGAAAGCAAGUAUAAAUUAUGCGUUUAGUUAAAUAUUACCCGAAACCAAGGGAUCUAAUUAUGAAUAGUUUGAAACCUUCUUAAUUGACGGGUGGAAGAACGAACCGGUGAUUGUGGCAAAAAUCUCGGAUAAUUUGUGAUUAGGGGUGAAAAGCCAAUCGUCCUUGGAAUAGCUGGUUUUCUGCGAAAACUAUAGAAGUAGUGUGCCAUAUUGUAUUCUAACAAGGUAAAGCACUGAAUAAACUUAGGGGGUUUAUCCUUACUAAGUAAAAUCAAACUAUGAAUGUGUUAGAAGAAAUUUAUGACAAACAGACAAUUCGCGAGAAGGUGGAUUGUCAAAAGGGACACAACCCAGAUCAGAAGUUAAGGUCACAAAUAAUAUCUAAGUGUAAAAGGGGCAGAAUCUGGAACCCGAAGUAGGGUCGACUUAGAUAAUGAGAAAGUAGGCUUGGAACCAGCCAUCUUAAAUAGAUUACGUAAUAGUUCACUCAAUAAGUUGGUUAGCCCCUAAAAUUUUGAUGGCUUAAGAAAAAGAAAGUCAAUAAACCCAAACUCUGAAAUUAUAAUUUGGUAGCAGAACGUUUUGUUAUAGAGUAAGCGAUAGCUAAAAUCAAAAGUGAUAAUGCGAACAUGAGUAAAAUACAGUGUGAUAAUCGCUGCUCAAUCGACCUAAGGUUUCCAAUUAAAGGAUUAACCGAAUUGGAUUAUUCAGUCCCUAAAAUUAAUCGAUGGGGGAACUCAUUUAAGCGCUGCGGGCGUCAGGAAAUAAUAUUAGAUCACAAUAAAGGAUGACUGUACUAUAAACUAACACAAGGGGGUCGAAUUGAUGGUUGAAUUUAUCUUAAGGAACUCGGCAAAUUGUCUCUGUAAGUUCGCAAGAAAGAGAGUCAAAACUUAACAACUCAUUAGGGGUUAAGUUAGAUCGCAGAAAACAGGGGGUGUUGACUGUUUACCAAAAACAUAGCUUCCAGCAAAUUUUAAUAAAAAUUAAGUAUUGGAAGUGAGGCCUGCCCAAUGAUUGUAUCCUAACUUAAAUAAUAAACUGGGAUAAAGUUAUUUGAUUAAGGACAAUUCAAUGGCCGCGGUAAAACUGACCGUGAUAAUGUAGCGCAAUCCAUAGCCAAUUAAUUGUUGGCAAGUAUGAAUGGCUUAACAAGCGCCCCGCUGUCUCAAGAUAAAAACCUGUGAAAUUGGAGCCGUAGUGAAGAUACUACGUACAAAUUGUUAGACGAGAAGACCCCAUUGAGCUUUACUGGAAAUUUAUAUAAUUCUUUUUUUUAUUAAUGUGUAGAUUAUGUGGGAACUAAACAAUAGUUUUGACUUUAAUGAAAAACCACUUUUUAAUAAUUUAAGGUUCAAAAAAAAAGUAAAAGUGUAAAGCAGACAGUUUAGUUGGGGCGACUGCCUUCUAAAUAGUAACGAAGGUGUACAAAGGUGAAUAAAAUAAUAGAUUUAGUUUAAAGCCUGACAGCGAGGAUAAUUUUCCGAGCUGACACGAAGAUUUAUUAGGGAUGAUUUUUCGUGGGUUAUAAUGACCCGUUAGUAUUAAAUGGGAAAGCUAACGAUCAACGGAUAAAAGUUACCAUGGGGAUAACAGCGUAAUAUCGUUCGAGAGUUCAUAUCGACAACGAUGUUUGCGACCUCGAUGUUGAAUUGUGGUAUCCUGGGGGUGCAGCCGCCCCCAAGGGUUGGACUGUUCGUCCAUUAAAACCGCACAUGAUUUGAGUUCAGAUCGGCGUGAGCCAGAUCGGUUUCUAUCUACAAUUUGUAAAGGAAACAUAGAUAUCUCUAUUUUCUAGUACGAAAGGACCGAAUAAUUAGUUGUCCUCUGGUGCCCAAUUUAA
rnacentral:rRNA from 1 species